rnacentral:rRNA from 1 species
UACGUAGGGUGCAAGCGUUGUCCGGAAUUAUUGGGCGUAAAGAGCUUGUAGGCGGUUUGUCGCGUCUGCUGUGAAAUUUCGGGGCUCAACCCCGAACUUGCAGUGGGUACGGGCAGACUAGAGUGUGGUAGGGGAGACUGGAAUUCCUGGUGUAGCGGUGAAAUGCGCAGAUAUCAGGAGGAACACCGAUGGCGAAGGCAGGUCUCUGGGCCACUACUGACGCUGAGAAGCGAAAGCAUGGGGGAGCGAACAGG